CUGAUGGACGUCGUAAUCCCUGCUGACGGUCCAGUUGAAUGGUCUGUAUCAACCUUUGAUAGUGAUCUUGUUUCCAUCGACGAACGGCAGAUGGAUGAAUGUAACGGCUCGGUCAUAGCCACCAGUCGUAGCAGUAGCUGUGCCAGCAAACCAUGCAGUUGUGCCAGUGCCACAGGUACUUGCACCUGUACUACCACCGGUUGCAUUUGCACCGUCGCCCAAUGCAAUCAAGGCUUCCCAAUCAUUUUUUGCAGUUUUAGGUGAGUGGAAUAUUGGGCAAGCUGUGCAGUGGGGGCAGUAAAAAAAUCCGGGCACGACUGAGCCAGGAAGCCAGAAAGUAUCUAAAAAAAAAACGGCUCCAAAGCUUGUCAUGGGGCCGGGGGGAUUUCUGUACUUUCGGGAUAUUCACCAGAAUCAAAUCAUUGAUACAAAAAUAGCUUUCUGUUACAAACACGUGUGGUGGUAGAGUGCAUUGGCUGUGAUAUCAGCAUCCGUAUCGAUGUACGCAGCAGCAUACAACUAUAGGACGUAAUUACUCGCCUCAGUGAUGGCGGGCAUAGAGGACUAGAUAUGACUGACUAAAUGUGACUAUUCCGUUGCGCCAUCUGCAGUAUAGGUGAAUUUAAACUGAUCAUUCGACAAUUCAAAUGGUUUUCCCAGCCUAGUAAAACACAUUAUUCUAUAAAUAGAGUCGAUUCGUAUACGGUUUGCGUUAACAUACGUACCCAGCAAACCCAUCUACGCUGUACCAUCUGUACUUAACGACUUUUUUAGUUCUAUUUAUCUGUUUAUUAGGUAGAUUUAGUAUUUACCUGUUUUACGUAAUUAUCCGCUUCAGUGAUGGUGGGCAUAAGCCUAGAUAUGACUGACUAAAUGUGACUAUUCCAAUGCACCAUCUGCAGUAUGGGGAAUUCAAACUAAUCAUUCGGAAAUGCAAACGAUUUUCCCAGCUUAGUAAUAGUAAACAAAUUCUAUAAAUAGAAUCGAUUCGUAAGCUGUUACUUUUGUCAACAUAAACGUGCUGAUCUAUACGCUGUACCUAUAACUGUAUAAAUUUGUAUAGCGACUUUUAUAAUCCUAUAUUUAUGCUAUUAGUACAGGAAUAGCACAGGAUAUUUUAUUAACUAACUAACGGCCAGAGAGCUAUUUUUGAAAUUGUAGAAAUGCUUGCGGGUUCAUCCAGUAUGCGGUAUUCCCACGCCGAUCCAACUUGCUUGAUUCAACUAACUAGCCAUCAAAGUUGUGCCUUAUAUAUACUGAGAGUUCCAUAAGCAACUUGGUCAGUUCCAUAAAGUGCUUCCACUUAUUUGGACCUUCAGUUGAUCAAGUCUUAGGUUUUAAGACAUAACUCGAAACAAUUGGCGCAUCGAAAGUCAGAAUUUAAAAAGAAAAUACAGGUAUUAUCAGUCAAAUUGUUUAUCCCUGAGGGUAGUACUUGUACUACCAGAAGGCAUUAAAGUAAAUGCGGGUGUCUGGGUGUGUAGGAGGGGGAGGGAUGUGGGGGGAGUGUACGGUGUUCUGGGCCAGGCUUCCAGAACCUUUAAUUCAGAAUCAGAAUAAAUUUAUAGAAAUCUAAACUACUGCAUCGAUUUUCUUCAAACUUUUUGUGUAAACUUACAGUAAUUUAUCUCAGCGGAUAGGACAACCACAACAUCAAUUCGAUUGUCUGUUUGUUUUGUUUUUGUUGCUGAUUUACCAGUUACCGAACGUCGUCAUCAUGUUGACAUGGCAAAAGACUAUACUAUGGAUUACCUUAUUCAUCAUUGUCAUUGUAAUUGUUUCGCAUAGCUAAAUGCUUCAUGAAGGGAAAAUGACCAUGAUUUUCAUGGUAGUGUAUUAAACCAUUUCUCUGAGUCACUCACUGAUUUUGUUGUGACGCCCAGUAAAAUGACCAUUAAAUGGGUUUGCUUGAUUUUCAUGGUAGUGCACUAAACCAUUUAUGUGAGUCACUCACUGAUAUCAACACCAUAUGAUGAGUAGUCAUCAUGUAAGGCUAAUGAUUAGAAGUUAGACAUGAAUAUGUAUCGUCCUCACCUAAAUUUGGAUGUGCACAUGUCUGUUUCAGAAAGAAAGUUAAGGAUAGGAGAAGAUGAGCACAUUAGCUUAGGCAUACCAGUAAUUUUGAAUCUACGUUGAUUGCAUCUGUUGGAAAAAUGGAAAUUUAUUUAACAUUUGAUUUUAACUGAAUAGUCGUAUGUGUAAUAUUUUCAAAUGCAAUCAUUGAUGUCUUAAAAUCUUCGAGAGCUGUGCCGUAUCACGACAGAAAUGUUUACCUAAAUCACAUUUUGACUUGGCAUUGUUGUAAUCAUUGUAAUUUUUC
rnacentral:lncRNA from 1 species